rnacentral:rRNA from 1 species
ACGGAAGGCAGCAGUGGGGAAUAUUGCACAAUGGGGGAAACCCUGAUGCAGCAACGCCGCGUGGGUGAAGAAGUAUUUCGGUAUGUAAAGCUCUAUCAGCAGGGAAGAUAAUGACGGUACCUGACUAAGAAGCUACGGCUAAAUACGUGCCAGCAGCCGCGGUAAUACGUAUGGAGCAAGCGUUAUCCGGAUUUACUGGGUGUAAAGGGUGUGUAGGCGGCAAGGCAAGGCAGAAGUGAAAUGCCGGGGCUCAACUCCGGCGCUGCUUUUGAAACUGCCAUGCUGGAGUCCAGGAGAGGCAGGCGGAAUUCCUAGUGUAGCGGUGAAAUGCGUAGAUAUUAGGAAGAACACCAGUGGCGAAGGCGGCCUGCUGGACUGGAACUGACGCUGAGGCACGAAAGCGUGGGGAGCAAACAGGAUUAGAUACCCUGGUA